AUUGAACGCUGGCGGCAGGCUUAACACAUGCAAGUCGAGCGAGCGGCGGACGGGUGAGUAAUGUAUGGGGACUGCCCGAUAGAGGGGGAUAACUACUGGAAACGGUGGCUAAUACCGCAUACUAUCGGAUAACCCAUAUGGGAGUAGCCAGGAGGUGGGGUAAAGGCUCAACUAGGCGACGAUCUCUAGCUGGUCUGAGAGGAUGAUCAGCCCCCCUGGGACUGAGACGCGGCCCCGACUCCUACGGAGGCAGCAGUGAGGAAUAUUGCACGAUGGGCGCAAGCCUGAUUCAGCCAUGCCGCGUGUCUGACGAAGUCCUUAGGGUUGUAGAGUACUUUCAGCGGGGCGGCUUUACCCGCAGAAUAAGCCCCUGCUAACUCCGUGCCAGCAGCCGCGGUAAUUC
rnacentral:rRNA from 1 species